GUACUCUCACACUCUCUGAUCCUUUGGAUUUGGGGAGCGGUGGACUUGGGUGCUUGCUGCUUUCCUUGUGGCUCACCUGAAAUGCGUCAGUGCACCUCUUGAUUGGACAUAGUACGGCGUGAUAAGUGUCUUCGCCGGCACCUCACAAUACGAGGGUGGCCAUUUGGGAGCUCUGUGCUUUCCAAUCGUCUUCGGACAAUCUCUGACA
rnacentral:misc_RNA from 1 species